UACGUAGGGGGCUAGCGUUGUCCGGAAUCAUUGGGCGUAAAGCGCGUGUAGGCGGUCCGGUAAGUCCGCUGUGAAAGUCGGGGGCUCAACCCUCGAAUGCCGGUGGAUACUGUCGGGCUAGAGUACGGAAGAGGAGUGUGGAAUUCCUGGUGUAGCGGUGAAAUGCGCAGAUAUCAGGAGGAACACCAAUGGCGAAGGCAGCACUCUGGGACGGUACUGACGCUGAGACGCGAAAGCGUGGGGAGCAAACAGG
rnacentral:rRNA from 1 species